rnacentral:rRNA from 1 species
CUACGUAGGGGGCAAGCGUUGUUCGGAAUGACUGGGCGUAAAGGGCGCGUAGGCGGCCUGUCAAGUUGGGAGUGAAAUUCCUGCUUUCAAGGUAGGAACUGCUUUCAAAACUGUCGGGCUUGAGUGCGGAAGAGGUAAGUGGAAUUCCCAGUGUAGCGGUGAAAUGCGUAGAGAUUGGGAGGAACACCAGUGGCGAAGGCGACUUACUGGGCCGUAACUGACGCUGAUGCGCGAAAGCGUGGGGAGCAAACAGGAUUAGAUACCCGGGUAGUCCACGCGGUAAACGAUGAGUGCUAGGUGUAGGGGGUAUCGACCCCUCCUGUGCCGCAGCAAACGCAAUAAGCACUCCGCCUGGGGAGUACGGCCGCAAGGUUGAA